GACGUAGGGGGCCAGCGUUGUUCGGAAUUACUGGGCGUAAAGGGCGCGUAGGUGGCCUUCUAAGUUGAACGUGAAAUCCCUGGGCUCAACCCAGGAACUGCGUCCAAGACUGGGAGGCUUGAAUCCGGGAGAGGGAUGCGGAAUUCCAGGUGUAGCGGUGAAAUGCGUAGAUAUCUGGAGGAACACCGGUGGCCGAAGGCGGC
rnacentral:rRNA from 1 species